GUGAGGAUACCGACGGACUGGAUCCUGGCGCUCGAAAUACCGACGCCGGAAUCCUGGCCGCAGCUGGAACGCGAUCCUUCUUUCAGCGGGGGAUUGUGAAUAGAAUUUAGCUUUUCAGUCUUUGAAGGGGGAUGUGGUCGGAAUCCCAACACCGGAAUCCCAACGCUGAGAAUGCUGAUGGAUCUGUGGAGAGAUGGAAACUGUUUAAAUUUGUCAUUUUUAAUAAUAAAUUAUAAAUGUAAGUUUAAAUAAAGAUUAAGACGUUUUACAUUUUUAUAA